GCAUUCCUACAUUUGAAGCAAUAUGAAGUAUGAUUGGCAGCAACCCAAUUUCAUUAUUCUUAGAUGAGUCAGUAAGUGUGGAAAGAGAAAUUAAAUGGGCAGCCAAUCAACAUACACACAAAAAAAAUCAGAUAUUCUGAGGCCAAGAAAGUAUUUAUAUGCUGAUGACUCAACUUUUGCAGCAGUGUCUGCAGCAAGAACAGGAAAUAUACUGUUGAACCCUCUUACGACAACAACUUGGAUGUGAAAGACCGGAAUAGCUCAUUCUGCCUUCUGUGAUUCCGAAAGCUGGAGCUGCAAUCCUGGAUCUCUGCAGAACACACUCACAAGAGCUUCCGAGCUCAUUAAAGGACAUCAGAAAUACAAGGGUCCUGCAGGACACAUGCAUUUCUGGGGUUUGCAAGUUCAAAACUAAUACAGCACAGCAGAAGAGGCCUUUUAAUCCUGCUUAUUAGCAAAAGGGAGUUUCUGACAUAACCCAAACGCUCUGGCAGACAGACAACACACAGCUGAAGAACAGACACUGCAACACAAUGGAUUCCAAGCACUGAUACCUCUGGCAAAUGAGCUCCACUGGAGAAGCAGCAUUCUUGUUUUCAGGGAAGAAGCCACCUUACUCAGACUAAUACUUACCUUCUGAAGACAUGUCAUCUUCCACAAAACAAAACGAGGUGCUGAUAGCUUAGCUGAGGCAGCUGGGGGAAAGGGUAAGAGAGAAUGCAGGCUCGCAGUGGAAUGGAGGUACUUGAAACCCAAACAAAAAGCUGAAGCUUUCAACCCCUAAAGAGUGUGCAUUAUUUACUGCAUGCCACUGGACUGAGCAAGUUUCUUAGCUGGCCACAGUUUACCCAUCUCCCCUACCAAGCAGCAAGAAAUGUACUGACAAGAAGUACACCCACUGAGAAGCAGGGUGAGAGGAGACAGAGCUGGGAUGCCCUCCUCCAGGACACUGUGUGUGCCCAGCUCACAGCCAGGGGCCAGGUGAGCGCUUCUCUGGCUGUGGUAGCAGUGUGGUGGAACAGACUGCUCCAACACAGCACAGGAACCCAAGUUAUGAGCAGUUGGGAAGGGUGUCUGUGCAACAAAGCCUUCCUAGCACCAUUAACAUUUCAUUUUUCAGAUUAUACUGAAACGAUAUCCUAACCAUGAGAAGUCAAAUUUCCCAUCAUGUCAUGAUUUCAUCACAUUAAUUUCUCUCAGAUCUGCAACUCUUACUAUGUGCCAAACAAUCAUGGCCCUUUUUUGGUGUGUUGUAUCAUAUCCAAGCUUCUCCUGUAAUCUGUAACCCACUAACAUUUGUACAUCACUCACCACAAACACCACCCAGGAAGAGAGUAGACACAAUAUUUUAUGCUCACUUAAGCACAACUAUGCUGUUUUCACACUCAAAGACAGAUGGGGCAUUUAAAGUAUGCAAGUUGUGGGCACAAAUCUGCAUCACACUCUGGCCACCAACAUGGAAAUUCACCCCAUUACCUACAACCAGCAUUAAGCAAACCAUGCAGGGCAGAUUGUCCUCUAUAAAACAUCAUGUUAAGACCACUUUUUAAGAAGAAUGGCUAUAAUUGCUAAAUAUUUUCCAACAAAAUAUUGUUGAAAGGAUACUCAAAUAUUACUCUUUCCCCGUUCAUGGGACAUGACUGGACAACAGUAAUGAUCCAAAUCCAUAACCACAACUUCCCAAAUGGGGCCUCUGGGAUACCAGCAGUUGCAGUGACAUGAUUUUUUUAAAUGGUAUUGGGCUUCUUUAAAAUGAAAAUAGACUAUUCAUAAUUCAUCUCCCUUCUAUCAACUGAAGAACUUUCAUUUAAAGGAAAAAAGCAUUCACUUGAAUGUUAAGAGCAUGCAUAAAUCAAAUAUGGAACUAAAAGACAUUUAAUGAUAUUUGCACAAACACUUUCCAGCAAUGACUCUGAUUUUAAUUAUCUAGUGGAUGAACCCUGCCUGUGAACAAGUCCAAUGGUAUUCUGCAGCCAAUUCCUAACUCUGUGGUCCAUGUCUCCUAGACCAAACAUGCUUUGCAGCUUUUGCACAAAUAUUUUUCAUUUUGCACCCUAGUUUUACAGCCCCUCAUUUUUUCCCUCUGCUUUUUAGUUUCUAAAUGCUCUCUGUUUCUAUCUAUACAAUCAACCAAAGUGCACACAAAAUAUAAUGUGGGAUAUAAAACUGUGAAAAUAAAAUCUGGGAAAUUUGCAAGCAAUUUUUCUAGCAAAAAAUACAUGUUUGAGAAGACAUAAAUAAAGAUUUUAAUAAGCCUCACACAAACAGGCACAUGCCUACUCGUUCUUCCAAACUGUCAGAGCUCUUGCAAAAGACUUCUUUUAUAUUUGUCUUAGUCCCUGAAGUUACACGUCUUAAAGUUAAAAAAGAUAGACUUGUUAAUAACACACAAAUGUUCAUAGACAUAACAUCUUUACAGAUAUCCUCUGUGAGCAGAUCAAGCCACUCUCCAUAUGUAUUUAAGUGAAGUGGAAGGCUGGAGUUUUUAAGUUGUCAGAUCUGCGCCUGGGUAAGAGGGGCUCUAUUUUCACUCUUGGAGCAGGGAGAGAUUAGCAGCUUGAAAUCACUUUGACAGUUUCAGUUACUCUCCUGCAUACUGCAGGGAAUUUUAAUUCCAACCUGUGAAAUUGUAAUUGCUUCUCAAGAAGAGCAGGAGGAUUCUGGGUAAUGGCCACAGCUAAGCUCAGUGUCAGAGUUGCCACUUGCUGCCACUUCUGAUAUUAUUUGCUGUUAUUCAAAAAUCACUCCAGCUUUCUAUAUGGGAAGUUGAACUGGGAAGUGAAACUAGAUUAACAGUAGCUGUCAGAUGUUCAGAGAUGUGCAAGGAAUGAUGUAACAAAGGUGAGUCUCCUCAAAAAGCACCUUUUCUUCUUUAUCUUGCUUUAUAGAACAAGCUUUACAUAAAACACUUCUUCUAUAUCAUACUCUUUUUCUAAACAAGUAUUACUAGAAAGCUGCAAUGAAAAGACUAAAUGACAAAGUCCUCCAGCAUACAAUGCUCGAGUAGACAAUAAAAUGUGUGUACUUAAUGCUGAUCACAAUAGAUUUAAGAUGUCUUUGCUGCUCAGGGUUCCGUGGUUUGUAAGAUUCCUCACUGCAAACAGCCAAGAGAACUCAGAGCUACCACAAACACUUAAAUAGUUGAGGCUUUCCUGGUAUCAAAUGGAAAUUAUAUUCUUUUUUUCUCAGACAAAAGGUCAUUGAACGUAGAUUGCUUAUUAGCAGACACAUUCUCUAGUGAUGAGAGUGUUCAGCAUGUGUGAAAGCGGGAUCAAUUGACUAUGAGGUAACUUUUCCUGCAAUGACCUUGUUAAGCUGGGGUGCAGCAGAUUUCUCACCCACCCUGAUGGCUUGCAAAGAGGGAAUACUUGGAAAUAGGUCUCGAGCAUAAUGUUGAUGUAAAAAUUAAAAAUGCUGCCUGGCAGGGUACUUAGGGGAUUCAGGGAGCCAAACAGGAUCAAAAAUCACAGAUCAGAUGGUCAGGUUAACUCGUUCAUGAGGAGGAUGUACUUGUACAGCUCACUCCACACUCACUGAGGUUUCCCAAGCUGCACCAGUAGCCGCAGGCAGUCCAGGCUUGGUCCAGGUGAGCUGUUUGACCAGAACUGUUUUGCUCAGCUCAGUGGCUUUGGAAGCUUUAUUUGUACAUAACCAGAACGCAAUGACAAACACAAUGCUGCUCUACAACACAAAGUGUCAAAAACCUCUCUCAAAAUCUAAAGGAAGGCAACAAAACAUGUGAUAAACAACACUUCCUACUUUGUGAUUUUAAACAGUCUCUGCAAGUGGAAGUUUGGAUGAAGAUUCAGAAAGGUGACAAGAUUAAAGCUCAGUUUAAGAAUAUACUGCAGGCAAUGUCAUUUACAAAGUCUUCUUUGGCCUCUUUCAGUAUAUUGCACUAUUUCUGAGAAAAUAAGCUGGUCCCAUUAAAGUCAACGAUGCACAGAAUCUAAAUCACAAGCUUGGUAAAUCUCUGUAAUAGCUGAUGCAAUGAGUCUGUAAUUGCCACGAUUAGAUAAGCUAGAGUGGCUGACAGAGAUAAUGCUAGAGGCACACAACAUAUCUGCAUAGAUUAUUCCCAUCACAUGCGAAAAUUUGGCUCGGAUAUAAUGAUUUUGCCAAUCCACAGUUUUCCUGAGAAUCUUGCAAUCUGUGGUACUUUCCUGAAAAUUUCAACGCCCAGAGUCAUGUUGGUGAGUUUUUUCUGAGAAUUUUUCAGAUUUGUUAAAAAAGUAACUUACUGAUUAUUAUAUAUUCCUUGUUGUACAGAAAAGCCUGACAAAAAAAGCAUGCCAACAAACACAAGAAAAUUAAGGGCAUGUUUUUGUUUUGUUGUUUUUUUUAUUUUUUCUUUUAAAACUUGUGGAUUUUGAGUCUUGGCUUUUGACCUUCAGUGGUUGCUAUAAAAAAUUCUAUUUUUGAUUGAUCACACACCUGAUUUCCUAAAGACAGUAACAUCUGUUGUUAUAAUUUACAGGCUGUGCUGAAAGCAUCAUGGUGGAGCUUCCUGGUUAAUUGUCCGUAAUUAUUUCAAAUCCCCAAUUUAUAAAGUACAAGCUCUCUUACUAGGGGAUGAUUAUUCCUCUGCACUGUAGAGACAAUGUACUGGUUUUGGCUGGGAUAUAGUUAAUUUUCUUCACAGCAACUGGUAUGGGGCUAUGUUUUGGAUUUUCUGCUGCUGAGGAGGGCUCACACAGCAUCAAGGCCUCUUCUGCAUUUCUGGGAAUGUCUGAGCACCUGCCUGUCAAAGUAAUGAAUGAUUUAUUUACUUGGUUUGCCUUGCUUGCAUGCACAGCUUUUGCUUCACCUAUCUAAGUGUCUUUACCUCAACCCCUAAGUUUUAUCACUUUUACCCUUCUGAUUCUUGUUCCCACCCCACUGCAGGGGAGUGAGCAAGCAUCUCAGCUGCCUGCGGGGGUUAAACCACAACAGCCAUGUAAGACAGCUCAGCUCCACCUGGAUGUGACACAAACACUAAAAAACCCCUCAACAGUGCCUGUGUUAUGAUUUGAAACAAUCUCUGCAAGUGGAAGUUUGGAUGAAGAUUCAGAAAGG